rnacentral:rRNA from 1 species
CCCUUAGAUGUCCUGGGCCGCACGCGCGCUACACUGAGUGUCUGAGAUACGAGUCUGCCUGGUCCGGCAAGGUCUAGGUAAUCGCUAAAAGACACAUCAUGCUUGGGAUAGAUUAUUGCAAAUAUUAAUCUUGAACGAGGAAUUCCUAGAAAGCGCAAGUCAACAGCUUGCGUUGAUUACGUCCCUGCCCUUUGUACACACCGCCCGUCGCUACUACUGAUUGGAUGUUUAAGCGAGGUUCUCGAACUGCUAGCGACUUAGCUUCGGUGAGGUCGCAGUGUGGGAAGUGAACCUAGCUUUGGUGUCUAGAGGAAGUAAAAGUCGUAACA